rnacentral:rRNA from 1 species
UACGAAGGGGGCUAGCGUUGUUCGGAAUUACUGGGCGUAAAGGGCGCGUAGGCGGUUAGGUAAGUCAGAAGUGAAAGCCCUGGGCUCAACCCGGGAAUUGCUUUUGAGACUAUCUAGCUUGAAUUCGGUAGAGGUAAGUGGAAUUCCCAGUGUAGAGGUGAAAUUCGUAGAUAUUGGGAAGAACACCAGUGGCGAAGGCGGCUUACUGGACCGACAUUGACGCUGAGGCGCGAAAGCGUGGGGAUCAAACAGG